AGUGAACGCUGGCGGUAGGCCUAACACAUGCAAGUCGAACGGCAGCACAGUAAGAGCUUGCUCUUACGGGUGGCGAGUGGCGGACGGGUGAGGAAUACAUCGGAAUCUACUUUUUCGUGGGGGAUAACGUAGGGAAACUUACGCUAAUACCGCAUACGACCUACGGGUGAAAGCAGGGGAUCUUCGGACCUUUCGCGAUUGAAUGAGCCGAUGUCGGAUUAGCUGGUUGGCGGGGUAAAGGCCCACCAAGGCGACGAUCCGUAGCUGGUCUGAGAGGACGAUCAGCCACACUGGAACUGAGACACGGUCCAGACUCCUACGGGAGGCAGCAGUGGGGAAUAUUGGACAAUGGGCGCAAGCCUGAUCCAGCCAUACCGCGUGGGUGAAGAAGGCCUUCGGGUUGUAAAGCCCUUUUGUUGGGAAAGAAAAGCAGCAGGUUAAUACCCCGCUGUUCUGACGGUACCCAAAGAAUAAGCACCGGCUAACUUCGUG
rnacentral:rRNA from 1 species